rnacentral:rRNA from 1 species
UACAGAGGGUGCAAGCGUUGUUCGGAAUUAUUGGGCGUAAAGCGCGUGUAGGCGGCUUUGCAAGUCGGGUGUGAAAGCCCUCAGCUCAACUGAGGGAGUGCGCCCGAAACUGCAGAGCUUGAGUACCGGAGAGGAUGGCGGAAUUCCCCAAGUAGAGGUGAAAUUCGUAGAUAUGGGGAGGAACACCGGUGGCGAAGGCGGCCAUCUGGACGGAUACUGACGCUGAGACGCGAAAGCGUGGGGAGCAAACAGG